GCUAGUAAUCGCGGAUCAGAAUGCCGCGGUGAAUACGUUCCCGGGUCUUGUACACACCGCCCGUCACACCAUGGGAGUCGGAAAAUGCCCGAAGUCUGUGACCCAACCUACCGGGGAAGGGGAGCAGCCCGAAGGGCAGGGUCGGGAUGACUGGGGGUGAAGUCGUAACAAGGUAAC
rnacentral:rRNA from 1 species